CAUGCAGUCGACGGUGAGAGGAGCUUGCUCCUUGGAUCAGUGGCGAACGGGUGAGUAACACGUGAGCAAUCUGCCCUUGACUCUGGGAUAACUGCGGGAAACUGUAGCUAAUACCGGAUAUUACCUUGGAAGGCAUCUUCUGGGGUGGAAAGAAUUUUGGUCAAGGAUGAGCUCGCGGCCUAUCAGCUAGUUGGUGAGGUAAUGGCUCACCAAGGCGACGACGGGUAGCCGGCCUGAGAGGGUGACCGGCCACACUGGGACUGAGACACGGCCCAGACUCCUACGGGAGGCAGCAGUGGGGAAUAUUGCACAAUGGGCGCAAGCCUGAUGCAGCAACGCCGCGUGAGGGACGAAGGCCUUCGGGUUGUAAACCUCUUUUAGUAGGGAAGAAGCGACUGGGUUUUCCUGGGAGUGACGGUACCUGCAGAAAAAGCACCGGCUAACUACGUGCCAGCAGCCGCGGUAAUACGUAGGGUGCAAGCGUUGUCCGGAAUUAUUGGGCGUAAAGAGCUCGUAGGCGGUUUGUCGCGUCUGCUGUGAAAACCCGAGGCUCAACCUCGGGCCUGCAGUGGGUACGGGCAGACUAGAGUGCGGUAGGGGAGAUUGGAAUUCCUGGUGUAGCGGUGGAAUGCGCAGAUAUCAGGAGGAACACCAAUGGCGAAGGCAGAUCUCUGGGCCGUAACUGACGCUGAGGAGCGAAAGCAUGGGGAGCGAACA
rnacentral:rRNA from 1 species